rnacentral:rRNA from 1 species
AUUAGGCAUGCAAGUCGAACGAGAAGCUUUUCAAUCAUAUCCUUCGGGAGAGACUGUUAAGUAGACAGUGGCGAAAGGGUGAGUAACGCGUGGGCAAUCUACCCUUGAGUUGGGGAUAACGUUUGGAAACGAACGCUAAUACCGAAUGUGGUUCCUGGUCGCAUGGCCGGGACACUAAAGGUGGGGAUUCUUCGGAACCUGCCGCUCUUGGAGGAGCCCGCGUAUGAUUAGCUUGUUGGUAAGGUAACGGCUUACCAAGGCUCCGAUCAUUAGCUGGUCUGAGAGGAUGGUCAGCCACACUGGGACUGAGACACUGCCCAGACUCCUACGGGAGGCUGCAGUCGAGAAUCAUUCGCAAUGCGCGAAAGCGUGACGAUGCGACGCUGCGUGGAGGAUGACGGCCUUAGGGUUGUAAACUCCUGUCAUAAGGGAAAAGACAGUGGUGGGUUAAUAACCCAUCGCCUCGAUGGUACCUUAAGAGGAAGCCACGGCUAACUCUGUGCCAGCAGCCGCGGUAAUACAGAGGUGGCGAGCGUUGUUCGGAUUUACUGGGCGUAAAGGGUGCGUAGGCGGUUUGGUAAGUCGGAUGUGAAAGCCCAAGGCUCAACUUUGGAACUGCAUCCGAUACUGCUGAACUAGAGUGCAGGAGGGGAGAGCGGAAUUCUUGGUGUAGCGGUGAAAUGCGUUGAUAUCAAGAAGAACACCGGUGGCGAAGGCGGCUCUCUGGAAUGUUACUGACGCUGAGGCACGAAAGCUGGGGGAGCAAACAGGAUUAGAUACCCUGGUAGUCCCAGCCGUAAACGGUGUCGACUUGGUGUGGGGGGAAUUGACCCCCUCCGUGCCCGGAGCUAACGCGUUAAGUCGACCGCCUGGGGAGUACGGCCGCAAGGCUA